rnacentral:rRNA from 1 species
AGCUCCAAUAGCGUAUAUUAAAGUUGUUGCAGUUAAAAAGCUCGUAGUUGAAUUUCUGUUUUAAUUAACCGAUCUACUUUCUUUAUGAUUGUAUGUAUCUGGUUUGAUUAGAACUUAAUUUCAAUAUUUGUGUAUGUAUUUAAUUAUAUGUAUGCUUAUGUUGGAAGUUUUACUUUGAGUAAAUUAGAGUGUUUAAAGCAAGCGUUUGCUAUGAAUACUAUAGCAUGGAAUAAUAAGAUAGGACUUUGGUUCUACUUGUUGGUUCCGGAACUAAGGUAAUGAUUAAUAGGAACAGUUGGGGGCGUCUAUAUUUAAAAGUCAGAGGUGAAAUUCUUAGAUUUUUUAAAGAUAAACUACUGCGAAAGCAUUCGCCAAGGAUGUUUUCAUUAAUCAAGAACGA